rnacentral:rRNA from 1 species
AAGCGGUGGAGCAUGUGGUUUAAUUCGAAGCAACGCGAAGAACCUUACCAAAUCUUGACAUCCUUUGACCGCUCUAGAGAUAGAGUCUUCCCCUUCGGGGGACAAAGUGACAGGUGUUGCAUGGUUGUCGUCAGCUCGUGUCGUGAGAUGUUGGGUUAAGUCCCGCAACGAGCGCAACCCUUAAGCUUAGUUGCCAGCAUUAAGUUGGGCACUCUAAGUUGACUGCCGGUGACAAACCGGAGGAAGGUGGGGAUGACGUCAAAUCAUCAUGCCCCUUAUGAUUUGGGCUACACACGUGCUACAAUGGACAGUACAAAGGGCAGCGAAACCGCGAGGUCAAGCAACUCCCAUAAAGCUGUUCUCAGUUCGGAUUGUAGUCUGCAACUCGACUACAUGAAGCUGGAAUCGCUAGUAAUCGUAGAUCAGCAUGCUACGGUGAAUACGUUCCCGGGUCUUGUACACACCGCCCGUCACACCACGAGAGUUCGUAACACCCGAAGCCGGUGGAGUAACCUUUCAGGAGCUAGCCGUCGAAGGUGGGACGAAUGAU